AUGCAACGCGAAAACCUUAACCACCUUUGACAUGUACGGAAGAUCGCAGAGACGCGAUUGUGCUCGAAGAGAACCGUAACACAGGUGCUGCAUGGCUGUCGUCAGCUCGUGUCGUGAGAUGUUGGGUUAAGUCCCGCAACGAGCGCAACCCUUGCCAUUAGUUGCUACAUUCAGUUGGGCACUCUAAUGGGACUGCCGGUGACAAACCGGAGGAAGGUGGGGAUGACGUCAAGUCCUCAUGGCCCUUAUGGGUAGGGCUUCACACGUCAUACAAUGGCGGAUACAGAGGGUUGCCAACCCGCGAGGGGGAGCCAAUCCCAGAAAGUCCGUCGUAGUCCGGAUUGUAGUCUGCAACUCGACUACAUGAAGUCGGAAUCGCUAGUAAUCGCGGAUCAGCAUGUCGCGGUGAAUACGUUCCCGGGUCUU
rnacentral:rRNA from 1 species